rnacentral:rRNA from 1 species
GGAGGCAGCAGUGGGGAAUUUUGGACAAUGGGGGCAACCCUGAUCCAGCAAUGCCGCGUGUGUGAAGAAGGCCUUCGGGUUGUAAAGCACUUUUGUCCGGAAAGAAAGCUUCGGAGCUAAUACCUCUGGAGGAUGACGGUACCGGAAGAAUAAGCACCGGCUAACUACGUGCCAGCAGCCGCGGUAAUACGUAGGGUGCGAGCGUUAAUCGGAAUUACUGGGCGUAAAGCGUGCGCAGGCGGUGCUGUAAGACCGAUGUGAAAUCCCCGGGCUUAACCUGGGAACUGCAUUGGUGACUGCAGCGCUGGAGUAUGGCAGAGGGGGGUGGAAUUCCACGUGUAGCAGUGAAAUGCGUAGAGAUGUGGAGGAACACCGAUGGCGAAGGCAGCCCCCUGGGCCAAUACUGACGCUCAUGCACGAAAGCGUGGGGAGCAAACAGGAUUAGAUACCCUGGUAGUCCACGCCCUAAACGAUGUCAACUGGUUGUCGGGCCUUCAUUGGCUUGGUAACGUAGCUAACGCGUGAAGUUGACCGCCUGGGGAGUACGGUCGCAAGAUUAAAACUCAAAGGAAUUGACGGGGACCCGCACAAGCGGUGGAUGAUGUGGAUUAAUUCGAUGCAACGCGAAAAACCUUACCUACCCU